AGUGAACGCUGGCGGUAGGCCUAACACAUGCAAGUCGAACGGCAGCACAGUAAGAUCUUGCUCUUACGGGUGGCGAGUGGCGGACGGGUGAGGAAUACAUCGGAAUCUACUUUUUCGUGGGGGAUAACGUAGGGAAACUUACGCUAAUACCGCAUACGACCUACGGGUGAAAGCAGGGGAUAUUCGGACCUUGCGCGAAUGAAUGAGCCGAUGUCGGAUUAGCUAGUUGGCUGGGUAAAGGCCCACCAAGGCGACGAUCCGUAGCUGGUCUGAGAGGAUGGUCAGCCACAUUGGAACUGAGACACGGUCCAGACUCCUACGGGAGGAAGCAGUGGGGAAUAUUGGCCAAUGGGCGAAAGCCUGAUCCAGCACGACCGCGUGGGUGAAGAAGGCCUUCGGUUUGUAAAGCCCUUUUGUUGGGAAAGAAAAGCAGCAGGUUGAUAACCCGCUGUUCUGACGGUACCCAAAGAAUAAGCACCGGCUAACUUCGUG
rnacentral:rRNA from 1 species